rnacentral:tRNA from 1 species
GGGGGUGUGGCGGAAUUGGUAGACGCGCGCGACUCAAAAUCGUGUUCUGCAAAGAGUGUGGGUUCGAGUCCCUCCACCCCCA